rnacentral:rRNA from 1 species
AUGUUUUCUAGACUUUACUAUAUUUGCUUACCUGUGUUUGUGCUCUUGCAUUUAGCACUCUGUAACUCCAUUUUCUUAGGAACACGACGUCGUUCUGAACUUCUAAUGCCUCCAAAUGCACCAGCAACAGAGGAGGAAGAAUGUCGACGGCGAGAUGAGCAACAUCUGGCAGAUUGCGGACUGAGGCCACGGAAGGUGGCUGGAACCCCAAUGUGGCCCCGAAAUCAACCAACAACGGGCAGACAGAGAGGAGGUGACUCACCGACGGAGCGGGGCGUGGCAGAGUGGGCUACUAUUCCACACUCUAAAAUUGAGGUUUAG